GUGUGUGUGUGUGUGUGUGUGUGUGUAAGAGAUUUUUUAGCCUGAUCAACUUAGUACAAGGCAAAAGAUGAAAGAGAAGACAAUUUGUAUUUUUCCAAAGGAAAAGAGUCCAGUGAGGUUUUCUGUUGGAUCUACCUGUUCUAGGUUCCUAAUAGUUUUCCUCACAAGUGUCAUGACCUUCUCAUGGCUUUUCUUCUCCUUGGCAUUUCUCUAUGUAUUUUUACAGGAUGAAAUAUGUGACAGCCCUUUAAAUAUUGAGAGGUCCAUUACUGGAGGAAGGAUUAAAAUGACUGUGUGGCCACAAGAGCAUAAUCAGGAAGGCGGGUGCCAGUGAUGCAUAGAGAAUUUUAUGAUUUAAUAAAUAGGAACGUGUUGGGAGACAAGGCCUCUGUGACUGGAAUUGCUUAUGCAAUCACUUGUGACCAUUUCAUGGGGAUUAUUAUAACAAAGAUUUAGACAAUGGGAUGCAGGAGGCACGUAGGAGGGAAUGGUCAUCAUCUGUAGUCUUUAUUCUUACCCUGAGAUUCUAUUGUUCCAUGAUAUAUCCUUGUUCAUCUUCCUCCCAUUGUGACAACUAUGGGAAAUUCUGAAUAACUGUGGCCUGCAAAAUAUCUCUUGUGUGCCGGCUGCUUGUUCAUUCAGAAUUUUGUCAUUUCUUUGAGUGUAUGCAUGAGAGCACAAUUUAUUCAGAACAGUCACUCAGCAGUAAGGCACCGAGAUGCAUUGAUGAAGCUACAGUAAUUGAGGAUCUUACCCAAGUGUAACUCUCGGCCCCAGCUCAUGCAUAAUUCUCCUUCAGUAUGGAUUGUGCCUUUCUUGGCUAGCAAAUCGUGACCACCUUGGAAGAGCUGUAACUUUUAAUUAUAAGAGACACUUCUUGCUUUUAUAACGCAAACAAGAAAAUUGUUUGGUUAUUAUCUGGACAUAUUGAAGUUUUGAAUGCCAGUCUCCUUCAAGAGAAAUGAGAAUGUGAUGUAUCCUCCUUAUAGAUCUUGGUAAGAAUCAGGCUCUAUGAUUUCAAGGCUGUCCAGCAUUUAAAUGAUGAAUAAAGCAUUUCAUGUUUGAAAUUAGUGUUUUUGUUAAACCACUAUCCACGUUAAAAGAGUACUCAUGUCAAAGACAAAAAGCAAAACAAAUAAACAAACAAAACAAAAACAUAGUGAGGGGACUCAUCCAUUAACCAGAACACAAAACCAAACCAUGCCCAUUGUAUGGGAGGAGGAGGUCAGGUGCAAGGACAGAAAGGUGUGUGAGCUACAUGGUAACAGAGCUUCUCAUAUUUAAGCAUUUGGCCACAUUCCACGAGCAAAAUGACAGAGAAUCUUAACAUAGUAUAGGAAUGUGACUGACUGAUUGACACUCAGGCUUCAUCAGUAAGCCAUUCUAGUAGCUUUAAACAUGUAACUCUAGUAGGCCAUUAAUUAAUAAAACCAUGGAACCAAGGUUUCCUGGCCACCUUUCAAUUCAUUAGCUGGCCAUUAUUUCCAAAAGCCCAUUUAGAGAAGAAUGGUAUUAGGUGGCUGCUCAGAGAUAUUUGGAGUAGAUCAAACAGAAGGUGCCCUCAAAAGGGCUUUUGCAUAAGAAUACAAUAAAAAGAAAUUUGCAGUAUGUGUGUGACAUUUGACAGUAAAAAGAUCAGUCUGUAUAGAGCACUCAAAGAUUCAUGGCUGGAUAGCAGGCUUUAAUAUGAGAUUCAGAUUUAACAAUGAAAGAUAGAAAAGGAAAUGUAGAGGCCAGAGAGCUGUCUCAGCAGGAAAGAGUGCUUGCUGUGCAGCUGCUAGGACCUGAGCACCAAUCCCCCAAAACCCAUGUAAAUGCUGGGCAUGGUGUGCACAUACCUGCAACCCCAGCACUAUGAGUGUAUGUGGGAAGGGUGCAGAUAGGACAAGGGGAAGGGGUGUUUCUGGGACUUGUCUAUCAGCCUAGCUCUAGUUUUGGCGAGAGAGAUUCCAUCUCAAGAGGGUAAAGCAGAGUUAUGGAGCAGGAAGCCUGAAGUCCUCCAUUAUCCUCAGUUAUGUGCAUCUACACAUAUACACAUGUGCAUAAACUAUAUAAAUGCAGUGUGCAGAUGCACAGAAAAGAAGGGGAGGAUAGAAAGAAAAUGUAAGCAGGGACCAGGCAUGGAAGUAAAGUGAAUAAAUCAGUUUGAGUAUUCAUAAAUAAGCUGAAUUCAAAAUCACUUAUCACAUAUUUCCCUUGAGUACAGUAUUUAUUUUCUGGAAAAAAUAGUCUAGUUAAAAAAUGUUAUGCUGAGUGGAUUAGAUGUUGAUGGUAGAAGUUGUAGCAUCAUGUGUGACUAGACAGGCUUUAUAUAUAUUGGCAUAUUUCAUCCUUGAAGAACCCUAGAAGUACUAGCUUCAUUCCAAUCUUGCCAGUGGAGGAGCUGGGAAGAGAUCAGAGACAG
rnacentral:lncRNA from 1 species